rnacentral:tRNA from 1 species
GGCGGCAUGGUGAAGCGGAUUAACACACUGCUCUUUCACAGCAGCAUGCGCCAGUUCGAAUCUGGCUGCCGUCA